rnacentral:lncRNA from 1 species
GCGGGGGUCGUCGCCCGUCGGCGCUGGAGGUCAGUCGUGAAGAGAGAGCUCGGGGUCUGGGUCCCUGCUGCCCAUGGGCCGGAUAAAAUACAGAAAAAGUGAACUUGAGCUUGAUGGUGCUAAAGAAAUUGAAGGCUUAUUAGAGGUACAUACUUCAUUUCUGAAGAUUAAGAUGGCUGAAGGGGGUAGCCAUUGAGAUAAAAAGGCAUCUUUGAAAAAGCCUUGUUUUUUGUGCAGCAGGUAUGUGGAUGGAUUUUUUUUAACACCUGAAUAUGGUCUUUUAGUGAGAAGAAUUGGAACCAAAAAUGUAAAUACCAUGACAUCAUAUUUUGGCAGAGGCAUAGAAGAUAAACUAGGCUCUUUAAUCUUUUUGUUUAUAAUUUUAGAAAUAUAUUUAAAUUUCCCUAUUGUAUAAAUACUGUACAAACAUUUAAUUUUUAGAAAAGUUAUUUUGUGCAUACAUUUAUAUAGUUAUUCCUUCUUCCAAGCAAAAUACUCUUCAGUACUGUAUUUGUAAUAGUUGGCCACUUAAAUCACUGCAAUAAAUAAUUUCUCAGAUUUAAAAUUUUGAUUUUU